GCAGCAAAAGCUCAUAAGAGCAUCGGCCUUGUAAGUCGAAGGGUGGAGGAAAAUUCUCCUUGCCGUA
rnacentral:tRNA from 1 species